AUUGAACGCUGGCGGCAUGCCUUACACAUGCAAGUCGAACGGUAACGCGGGGCAACCUGGCGACGAGUGGCGAACGGGUGAGUAAAGUAUCGGAACGUGCCCAAUAGUGGGGGAUAGCCCGGCGAAAGCCGGAUUAAUACGCAUGAGACCUGAGGGUGAAAGCGGGGGACGUCGCAAGAGCCUCGCGCUGUUGGAGCGGCCGAUAUCAGAUUAGGUAGUUGGUGGGGUAAAGGCCUACCAAGCCGACGAUCUGUAGCUGGUCUGAGAGGACGACCAGCCACACUGGGACUGAGACACGGCCCAGACUCCUACGGGAGGCAGCAGUGGGGAAUUUUGGACAAUGGGCGCAAGCCUGAUCCAGCCAUGCCGCGUGCGGGAAGAAGGCC
rnacentral:rRNA from 1 species